UGCCUAAACCGCCAUAAGCGGCAUGGCAAAAAUAAACCCUCAACGACAGAGAUGGUCUCCUGGCCAGCACUCGUCGUUGAGGUUCAUCCGAAAGGGUGAGGCAGUUUCCGAAAGGGGCUGUC
rnacentral:sRNA from 1 species